UGGAGCCGUAUGAGGCGUAAGUCUCACGUACGGUUCUCUGAUAAUGGAAUGGCUGCCUGCUGGAGUUUCGACGAACCACCACCGGUCAAUUCCGC
rfam:Erythranthe guttata cultivar DTN x IM62 scaffold_292_contig_7, whole genome shotgun sequence.